UUGGAGUCAUUCGAUGCCCAGUUUGCAGCCAAGAGUGUGCUGAGAGACACAUCAUAGACAACUUUUUUGUGAAGGACACCACUGAGGUUCCCAGUAGUACAGUAGAAAAGUCUAAUCAGGUGUGUACGAGCUGUGAAGACAAUGCAGAAGCUAAUGGGUUUUGUGUAGAGUGUGUUGAAUGGCUCUGCAAGACAUGUAUUAGAGCUCACCAGAGGGUGAAGUUCACAAAAGACCACACAGUCAGGCAGAAAGAAGAAGUAUCUCCAGAGGCAGUUGGUGUAACCAGUCAGCGACCAGUGUUUUGUCCGUUCCACAAAAAAGAGCAGUUUGAAACUUUACUGUGAAACAUGUGAUAAACUGACAUGUCGAGACUGCCAGCUGCUAGAACACAAAGAGCACAGAUACCAAUUUAUAGAGGAAGCUUUUCAGAAUCAAAAAGUGAUCAUAGAUACUCUAAUCACCAAACUGAUGGAAAAAACAAAAUAUAUAAAGUAUACUGGAAAUCAGAUUCAAAAUAGGAUAAUUGAAGUCAACCAAAACCAAAAGCAGGUGGAACAGGAUAUUAAAGUUGCCAUCUUCACAUUAAUGGUGGAGAUAAACAAAAAGGGAAAGCUCUGCUGCACCAGCUUGAGAGUCUUGCAAAGGACCAUCGAAUGAAACUUAUGCAGCAACAGCAGGAAGUGGCUGGGCUUUCUAAGCAGUUAGAGCACGUCAUGCAUUUUUCUAAAUGGGCUGUUUCCAGUGGCAGCAGCACAGCCUUGCUAUACAGCAAGCGGCUGAUUACAUACAGGUUACGGCACCUUCUUCGUGCAAGGUGUGAUGCUUCUCCUGUGACCAACAACACCAUCCAGUUUCACUGUGAUCCUAGUUUCUGGGCUCAAAAUAUUAUCAACUUGGGUUCUUUAGUAAUCGAGGAUAAAGAGACCCAGCCACAAAUGCCUAAGCAGAAUCCUGUCGUGGAACAGAGUUCACAGCCACCAGGUGGUUUACCUUCCAACCAGUUAUCCAAGUUCCCAACACAGAUCAGCCUAGCUCAGUUACGACUCCAGCAUAUGCAGCAACAGGUAAUGGCUCAGAGGCAACAGGUGCAACGGAGGCCAGCACCUGUGGGUUUACCAAACCCUAGAAUGCAGGGGCCCAUCCAGCAGCCUUCCAUCUCUCAUCAGCAUCCACCACCACGCUUGAUAAACUUUCAGAAUCAUAGCCCAAAGCCCAAUGGACCAGUUCUUCCUCCUUAUCCUCAGCAGCUGAGAUACCCACCAAGCCAGAAUAUACCACCACGGCAGACAAUAAAGCCCAACCCCCUGCAGAUGGCUUUUUUGGCUCAACAGGCCAUAAAACAGUGGCAGAUCAGCAGUGGACAGGCUCCGCCCACAACUGCCAGCAGCUCCUCCUCCACUCCUUCCAGUCCCACAAUCACAAGUGCAGCUGGGUAUGAUGGGAAAGCUUUUAGUUCACCCAUGAUUGAUCUGAGUGCACCAGUAGGAGGGUCUUACAACCUUCCUUCUCUUCCAGAUAUUGAUUGUUCAAGUACUAUCAUGUUGGACAAUAUUGCAAGGAAAGACACAAAUGUAGAUCACGGCCAGCCAAGACCUCCAUCAAACAGAACGGUGCAGUCACCAAAUUCGUCAGUGCCAUCUCCAGGCCUUGCAGGGCCUGUUACUAUGACUAGCGUCCAUCCCCCAAUACGUUCACCUAGUGCCUCCAGCGUUGGGAGCCGAGGAAGCUCUGGCUCUUCCAGCAAACCAGCAGGAGCUGACUCUACUCACAAGGUCCCAGUAGUCAUGUUGGAGCCAAUUAGAAUAAAACAAGAAAACAGUGGACCACCUGAAAAUUAUGAUUUUCCUGUUGUUAUAGUAAAACAAGAAUCAGAUGAAGACUCUAGACCUCAAAAUACUAACUAUCCAAGAAGCAUACUUACCUCCCUCCUCCUAAAUAGUAAUCAGAGCUCCGCUUCUGAGGAAACCGUAUUACGAUCUGAUGCGCCUGAUAGUACAGGAGAUCAACCUGGACUUCAUCAAGAAAAUUCCUCAAAUGGAAAGUCUGAGUGGCCGGAUGCCUCCCAGAAGUCCCCUGUGCAUGUCGGAGAGACAAGGAAGGAGGACGACCCCAAUGAAGACUGGUGUGCUGUUUGUCAAAAUGGUGGGGAACUCCUGUGCUGUGAGAAAUGUCCUAAAGUAUUCCAUCUUACAUGUCAUGUGCCCACAUUGACAAACUUCCCGAGUGGAGAAUGGAUUUGUACUUUCUGCCGAGACUUAUCUAAGCCAGAAGUUGAAUAUGAUUGUGAUGCUCCCAGUCACCACUCAGAUAAAAGGAAAAGUGAAGGCCUUACUAAAUUAACUCCAAUAGAUAAAAGGAAAUGUGAACGCCUGCUUCUGUUUCUUUACUGCCAUGAAAUGAGCCUGGCUUUCCAAGACCCUGUCCCUCUAACUGUGCCUGAUUAUUAUAAAAUAAUUAAAAACCCAAUGGACUUGUCAACCAUCAAGAAAAGACUUCAGGAGGAUUAUUGCAUGUAUACAAAGCCUGAAGAUUUUGUAGCUGAUUUUAGAUUGAUCUUUCAAAACUGUGCUGAAUUCAAUGAGCCUGAUUCUGAAGUAGCCAAUGCUGGUAUAAAACUUGAAAGCUAUUUUGAAGAACUUCUAAAGAAUCUUUAUCCAGAAAAAAGAUUUCCUAAGCUAGAAUUCAGGCCUGAAGCAGAAGACUGUAAGUUCAGUGACGACUCAGAUGAUGACUUUGUACAGCCCCGGAAGAAGCGCCUCAAGAGCUCGGAGGACCGCCAGCUGCUUAAGUAAAGCACUGCUGGCCCAGUGCACUAUUGUGCUAGAGAUUUUUUUUUUUUUUUAAAUUAAAGAAAGCAAAAGCCUUGUCAGUGAUCUAAGAUCACAACAGAGCAGGGUUUGUGAGAUCUCUGGUCUGUUUUCUGUUUCCUGGACUGUGAUUUCUUUAAUAACCUAUUUCUUUAACCUCUUGUCAUUGAUAAUAAAAAGAAGAAGAAGAAGAAAGGAAAUGUGUAUAAGAAUAAAAGAAGAAAGAAAAAGUAGAAAAAGAAGAAACAGCAAAGAAGGAAAAGACAUUCUUCCCACUUGUUGGAUUUCCUACAGCAGCCUGGAGUAAGAGCUACAAUAGAGAGAAAUAGAGUUUGAAGUAAGUUGAGAUUUUAGUGUGACUUGGAUGUGUGCUAAUCCAUUUUUAGACGGUUACUUCAUUACCCUUUAAUUAUGGCCAACUGUAAGGAGAUAGGUUUACUGUUCUUAAAAGAAGUCCUCCCCAAACGUGAGUGGGAAGCAGAGUUCUUUCCCAGGCUGCCUGCCAGAAAAGGUGUAGACAGAUGCUAUUAAGACACCAAAUAGUGUCCAUGUAAGAUGGCAAAUGCAUUAAAAAAAAAUCAGGAAA